rfam:Triticum aestivum genome assembly, contig: Triticum_aestivum_CS42_TGACv1_scaffold_374952_5AL
UUAAUACUUCCUCCGUCCGGAAAUACUUGUCAUCAAAAUGGAUAGAAAGAUUUCUAUCCAUUUUGAUGACAAGUAUUUCCGGACGGAGGGAGUACAUA